rnacentral:rRNA from 1 species
UACGGAGGAUCCAAGCGUUAUCCGGAUUUAUUGGGUUUAAAGGGUGCGUAGGCGGUUUUAUAAGUUAGAGGUGAAAAUUCGGGGCUCAACUCCGGACGUGCCUCUAAUACUGUAUGACUAGAGAAUAGAUGCGGUAGGCGGAAUGUAUGGUGUAGCGGUGAAAUGCGUAGAGAUCAUACAGAACACCGAUUGCGAAGGCAGCUUACCAGACUGCGACUGACGCUGAAGCACGAGAGCGUGGGUAGCGAACAGG